UUUUUUUAAAGGUAAACAUGUAUCUGAAAAUAUGGUGAGAUGCCCUAGGUGCCAUUCUGGGAGAGAGAGGCAAAGUACAUUACAUCAAAUAAAUAACGACAGAAGUACAGCAGCCAAAGUAGGCAAGAAAACCCAUGUUAUGCCUAACUUAAAGAAGAGAAGGGGGCGGGGAGAGAGGUGACAGUUAAAGCUACAGUUUAGCCACAGCUUGUCAGAAAAACAUAAGUUAAAGUCCCUCCUUGUUGAAUAAUUAACUUUAAUACUGUACAUUCAAAAGAACCGAAAAUGAAAGCAAGCACAGGAAAAACAUACUUGGAAACCAGAAGGCAAUAUUUUGUUUUCGCUUGAACACCGAAACUUUGGGAUUUAGGAGAGUUAAAAAAGAAAGAAAGAAAAGGAAACUGGCAGAGCAGCUCCACUCUUCUUUGCAGGGAGGAAGCGGCGAGUGGCUUGCCAGGGACCAGGAUUGCCAUAAGCCUGAAAUGACUUGAAGGUACACAACAACAACAACACUUGAUGUGAGAGUGAUCUGGCUGCGACAUCUGUCACCCGAUUGAUCUCCAGGGUUGAUUUGGCUGAUCUGGCUGGCUAGGCGUGUGUCCCCUUCCUCCCUCAUCACUCCAUGUGCGUCCCUCUUGAAGCUGCGCGCUCGGUAGAAGAGGACAACGUCCCAGCUGAAGAAUUGUCUUAAAGCUGUUCAUGGAACUAUAGCAAUAUUUCAGCAUUUUCCAGAUGGCAUUCCUCCAAAUCAUUCAUCUGGGCUUGAUAAUACUGAAUAUAAGGAGUUUUGGUUGUGCAUUUGCAAAUUUCUCAUGUGAGAAAAAUAAUGGAGAAUAUGGAAAAAACACUAAUAUUACUUGCAGGAGCAACAAAGCUAUUACUAAUGUCACAGUGACAUUCUGCCCUUACAAUAAUUGCAGCUGUCAUGGUGAUCCUGAAAUCAACACACUUGAGGGAAAGAAUACUUCUGCUGAUGGAAGAAUUUCACUGAAGUUGGACAAUUUUGCCAUCCUAACUUUCAACAGUAUACAAAUAUCAGAUGGGAGAUGUUAUUAUUUUUUUCUUAACUCUUCCAAUGGAUUCAAUUUUCAGAGCAUCAGUUUAACUGUUGUUGCACCCUAUACUAAACCGCAGCUCAUAAGGAAGAAGGACACUGUUGAAUGCACAGCAACUGGAGGGUUUCCAGAUAAGCACCUUUAUUGGUUUGAUACCCAUGAAACCAACCUAACUCAUAAUGCAACAUUUAUAUCUACACAAUAUGUGAAUGGGUUAUUCUUUCUCAACAGUUCUCUCCACCUGAAUUAUCUUGCCAAUGAAAGGAUAUAUUGUUGUACUCUCAACAAUACAAGUUGUAAUUCAUUCCAAAAUUGUGCUUGUUUGACCCUGGAAAAGAUUACAUCUUCCAAGUCUGUAUCAGAAAACACUUCAAGAAACUCUGCUCCGAUUGUAGUGAUUGUGGUACCUGCUGCUGCUGCUGCUGCUGUUGCUGUUGCAGUUUAUUUCCUCAGAAAAAAGAGAGGUAUUUUGCAAGUUUUUGUUCCUGUCAAAAGAGAACCAGUGCCAGGGGAAUGUUUCUGAGUCAGAAAACCAAAAUAAACCAAAACAAAAAGGGGAAAAGUCAGAUCAAUUAUGAACAAAGGACAUGAAAAUCCCAACCAAAAAAAUAUCUGAGCCUUCUUUUUGGCUUUUUCAUUUUUAAUACAAGAAGGACUUUCAGUUGGCAAGAAGAAAGGACAAAUUUGAGUCUUGGACAUGUUUUGGAUUCAGCUUUAAAUUUCCUUGAACAGUUCUUUGUAGAGCAACUUUGAUACACUCCUGAUGAUAUUGCUGAAGCUUGGUCAUCUCUAGAUUUUCUAGGAUGGUAGUUGCUAGGGAUGUGUGAUCGAUAAAAAAUGUUUCAGAAGUCAUUACAAAAUGGUGGGUGCUGGUGCUUCGUUUCUAAAAUGUUUCUAAAGUAUCAUUAGUGAAAAAUGCAUUACUGUAAUGAGAGUAACAAAAUUUCGUUACUAUUUUGUUACAGUAAUUGAGCAUAAUUACUAUAAUUGGGGAAACUUCAGGGCUUCUUUCUCUCUCAUUUUACAGCUAUUGAGGUGAAUGGUAGAACACAUUUACCACUGUUAGCACACCAAAUUUCAGAAUGUUUUACUUAUCCAUGGAGUUUUGGCAAAUUUUCAAAGUUUUUAUAAACAACAUUUUUUUAAUAAUAAAGAAAAUCUGUUCCUGGUUUGAAAGUGUUAUUUCCUGUUUAAUGGUAUAAUCCUUCCUUUGAAAGUAGUUCUACUCCAGGAACUUUGUUUUUGUGGCACAGACUUCAUGACAUUGGUGGAGACACAAUGAGAUACUAUAGUUAAAUAUGCUAUAUCACGAUGUCCCUCCCACAAAGACAAAGGUUUUUGCAGUUUUAUAAACUUUUCCCACGUUUCUAUAAUAGGACCAAUUAGGAAAUGACAUUUAUAACCCAGGAACAAAAAUCAUUGUAAAUACUCCAUUAGGUGUCAUCUAGAGCAACCCCCUUCUUCCAGACAGAAGGGCACUAUCCAAACUCUCCUGUUGAAUUGGAAGGGGCACCCAGGAGACAUUCAUUUAGGGAUUUGCUUACUUACUAGAGAAGUAUGAGUCAGUCCUCCUCUUUUCAGCUGGCUGCUGUUAGGGAGGGACAAAUCUCUCUCUCCAUUAUCCUAAUUGAUGCUUUCUAAUGCUGAUGAAUUUAGUAUUUAUGGAAUGGUGCUCACUCAGCCAGAAAACUCCAGGGGAGGGUGGGCAAAACAUGGCUUGCAGGUUUCAUCCAGCCCCUGGUUCCCACUGUUUAAUUCAAACAAUUUAAAACACAGGUGUGAGUAUUGGGCAGAAUUUGCCCCAAAACACCACAAUACUCUUGGAUAUCACUACAGUAGAGUCUCACUUAUCCAACGUAAACGGGCCGGCAGAAUGUUGGAUAAGCGAAUAUGUUGGAUAAUAAGGAGAGAUUAAGGAAAAGCCUAUUAAACAUCAAAUUAG
rnacentral:lncRNA from 1 species